rnacentral:sRNA from 1 species
UAUAAUUAACGAAAAGUUAUUUCCGUGUGUGUGGCAUCAAAUAAAUAGAGGGUAUGAACUUUUGUCAUGGUGUUGCAUCAUUGUUGUAUGUUGGUAGAUUGGUUUUUCACGAGUAUCUAUACUCCUUAUAAAAAGGAGUAGUGGUGAUGAUUCUGCUACCACCCCACUACCAACUCUUAUCUUUUUUUAAGGACAUCUAGGAUUAGUGGGCCCAUAUGUCAUUACUCUCACCAACUUUUAUUCUUGUGAAAGGUUAUUACCGUGCGAAUAAAUAGUGGGUUUGAACUGU